rnacentral:tRNA from 1 species
GAUGCUGUGGCCUAGUGGGUAAAGCUGUGGCUUGUGAUGCCAGAAUCCCAUGUAGGUGCAGGUUCGAGUCCUGGCUGCUCCA